rnacentral:rRNA from 4 species
UCCAGAGAUGGAUUGGUGCCUUCGGGAACUGUGAGACAGGUGCUGCAUGGCUGUCGUCAGCUCGUGUUGUGAAAUGUUGGGUUAAGUCCCGCAACGAGCGCAACCCUUAUCCUUUGUUGCCAGCGAUUAGGUCGGGAACUCAAAGGAGACUGCCAGUGAUAAACUGGAGGAAGGUGGGGAUGACGUCAAGUCAUCAUGGCCCUUACGACCAGGGCUACACACGUGCUACAAUGGCGCAUACAAAGAGAAGCGACCUCGCGAGAGCAAGCGGACCUCAUAAAGUGCGUCGUAGUCCGGAUUGGAGUCUGCAACUCGACUCCAUGAAGUCGGAAUCGCUAGUAAUCGUGGAUCAGAAUGCCACGGUGAAUACGUUCCCGGGCCUUGUACACACCGCCCGUCACACCAUGGGAGUGGGUUGCAAAAGAAGUAGGUAGCUUAACCUUCGGGAGGGCGCUUACCACUUUGUGAUUCAUGACUGGGGUGAAGUCGUAACAAGGUAACCGUAGGGGAACCUGCGGUUGGAUCACCUCCUUA